rnacentral:rRNA from 1 species
AAUGGACGCUGGCGGCAUGCCUAACACAUGCAAGUCGAACGAAGGCUUCGGCCUUAGUGGCGCACGGGUGCGUAACGCGUGGGAAUCUGCCCUUGGGUUCGGAAUAACAGUUAGAAAUGACUGCUAAUACCGGAUGAUGUCGUAAGACCAAAGAUUUAUCGCCCAAGGAUGAGCCCGCGUAGGAUUAGCUAGUUGGUGGGGUAAAGGCCUACCAAGGCGACGAUCCUUAGCUGGUCUGAGAGGAUGAUCAGCCACACUGGGACUGAGACACGGCCCAGACUCCUACGGGAGGCAGCAGUGGGGAAUAUUGGACAAUGGGCGAAAGCCUGAUCCAGCAAUGCCGCGUGAGUGAUGAAGGCCUUAGGGUUGUAAAGCUCUUUUACCCGGGAUGAUAAUGACAGUACCGGGAGAAUAAGCUCCGGCUAACUUCGUG